GGUGCCAUGGUCUAGUGGUAUGACGAGACAUUGUGGUGUCCUAAAUCUGUCUUAGCCCCGGUUCGAUUCCGGGUGGCGCCA
rnacentral:tRNA from 1 species